rnacentral:tRNA from 1 species
GACUUAAAAUCCGUCGACUUUAAAAAUCGUGAGGGUUCAAGUCCCUCUAUCCCC